AAAUGAGAGAUGUGACGUAAAAGAAACAGACAUAUUCUUUGGUAUUAUCAGAUCUCAAAAUAUAGAUUUUCUAGUUAAAUUGAGUUUUGAUUAUAGUACGAAAGGUUUGAAAUAUAGAAAGUAACUCAAAACGAUUUUUCAUUGAAAAUAACCAAGUCAUACAAGAAUAAUCAUCAACAAAGGUGAUGAAGUGCUGAAAUUUAUUAGAUAAACUAUUGAUUGGUCCUCAAAUAUCAGAAUGAACUAGUUCAAACAGACGAGAAACACAACUAACAGUUCUUAAAGGAAAAAAACACACGGUGAUGUUUACUAAGUUGACAAGCUUCACACGUAAAGGAGGACACAUUACGAAGACUAACGACUUGACGUUUCAAAGCGGAAAGAGAAUGAUGACCUAGAUGACAAUGCCACUACAUGGGUGAAACAGAAGAUUGGAGAGCUUGAGGAGAAGAGAUAGGUAAAAGAUCCAGGUAAUAUAAGCAACCAACUUCAUGCCCCAUACCAAUUAUCAUCUUCGUCUUGAGAUCCUGAAAAAUACACAAGGAAGGAUAAAAUGUUACAGGACAUUAAAAAGCUGUGGUAAUUUUACUAAUAGACAAUAAACUAAAGGGAAAGCUAGGAACAUGAGGAACGGUUGACAGAUCAGUAUUAGGACUAAGAUGGGCAUUGCUCGAACCUGCAACACUAGUUCGUGAACCAUUAGUAAGAGUGACACAUUUGGAAAAAAUAAUAUGAUGAUAAUCAAGAAGAGAAGUAGAUAAACCGGCCAUGUAUUUAGUUGCUUCGAAAUCUAUAAUCCAUGGACUGUGAGAGGAUAAAAACAGACAGUGAGAAGGUGUUGUACCUGACUAAGCGAGAGUGGCCACAGAAGUAGAAGUGGCCUGUUUAUGAGCUAAGAACUCAGUAUACUCAUCUUGUAGUACAAAUAAGAGAUCAGAUUUUGGUGUUGAACUCGAGUGAGUCACUGGUUCAGAUACUGGGCUAUGGACCUCAUUAGAUGAUACCUAAUUGGCAGAUCCAGACGGUUUGCCAUGUAAAUCCCAACAAUAAUAAAUAGAGUGGCGUAUUCGACCAAAAAUAAGACCACAUCUGCCUUGAUCAUCACGUCCAUCCCUGAAUGAGCCACCCCGAGCCAUAAAAGCAUAAUGAUCUUCAUCGAGUGCAUUAUCUUAUCGAGCUGAGCGCUGAAUAUGAGAAAAUGUCUUUGCAAGAAUAGGAAGCUUUUCUACACCUAAUAUCUGUGCCUGGACUACUUCAAAUUCUUACAGAAGACAAAUAAGAAAUUUAACAACAUCGAUGUCUUCUCGUUGUUUUUCCAUAACCUUUAAAUCAAAAGAGAGAGGUUGAUUCACAUUCAUUUCGUGACACACAUCUAAAAGCUUAUUAUAAUACUCAAUAAGGAUGGAAGAGCCAUUCUCCAGCUCAAAGUAUUGUUUACAUGUCUCAUAGAUUUGAGUAACAUUUUCAGUUCCAUAAUGUAUGUGUUUAAGAUGUUCCUAGAUUUGUUUAGCCGUAGAUAUAUAGAGGGAUGAAGAUCCAAUAUGUGGUUCAAUAUUACUGAUCAUAAGUCCAAUGAUUGCAUUAUCCUCUUGAUACCAACGAUAGUUGAGAAUCAGCCUUUGCAGAAUCAUUUUCUGAAGACUUGGCAGAUGGCUUGUCUAAAAUCAAGUUGUUAUAUAAACCCUUACCCCGCAAAAAGACCUCGACACGUCUAGCUCAGUAAGUAUAAUUUCUCUCAUUCAAUUUUUCGAGUGUCAUGGGGC
rnacentral:lncRNA from 1 species